AUGAACGCUGGCGGUGUGGAUAAGGCAUGCAAGUCACGGGGGUGCUGAAGCGCAAGCUGAAGUACAACCGGCGAACGAGUCAGUAACACCUUAGUACAUACCUCGAAGUAGGGCAUAGCUCGCCGAAAGGCGGGGUAAUUUCCUAUAGUCCCGCAAGGGUAAAGGCGCAAGCCGCUUUGAGAUUGGCUUAGGUCCGAUCAGCUUGUUGGUGAGGUAAUGGCUCACCAAGGCUAUGACCGGUAGGGGGGCUGAGAGGCCGAUCCCCGACGACGAGACUGAGACACGGCUCGUACACCUACGGGUGGCAGCAGUCGAGAAUAUUCCACAAUGGGCGAAAGCCUGAUGGAGCGACACCGCGUGGAGGAUGAAGGCCUUCGGGUUGUAAACUCCUUUUCUAUGGGAAGAAUCCGCCAAUUGGCGGAUGACGGUACCAUAGGAAUAAGAAGUUGCUAACUCUGU
rnacentral:rRNA from 1 species